CUUUUGCAGAUUAAAUUAUUCCAUAUAGUGGGGUCCAUGAAUGCACCUGUGACUGAUGGCGAGAAACUGAUUUGGAGUGUCUUAGAAGCUGAGCGCUCAACCAUUAGCCAGCUGCAUGAGAAAUAUCUGGUUGAAGAGUCAACAAACAAUUUUGUGCCAAGAUAAAUAGGUAAUGAGUUACAACAUCUGAAGCCAUGUAUUAUGCCCCACAAAGAAAGGAACGACGACCAACCAAUAGUAGUGGGUACAACCCAAAAAAUAGCAACCAAUGCAAUGAGCUAUAGCUCAAGUGGUGCUUCCCUUCGAUCAUAUCAUGAAUGUUUGCAUUUAUAUAGGGAUUUGAUCUGUUCACCCGUCCCGUUACACAUUGAGUUCACAAACUUCUUGGGACAAUACUACAUGAUCAGGAUGCUGCACUGAGUAAGUAAAACUGGACAGCUGUGUUGCGUGUUUUAUUUUUCUGUUGGUUAGAUGUGAGGACCAUUGCUAAUGAAAAUUUUAGUAUCUGAUAUUUGCCAUAAAAGUGCCAAGAAUAAUGUGAUUAUGAGUUCAUUUUCCUGUGUAAGUAUUGGAGAUCAACCAAUUCUCUGAAGCAAGCUAAAUCCUGCUAUAAUUAAGGGAUAGAGGGUAAAGGAAAUGGAAAUUGUUUCCUUGAAUAUGUUUAGAUUUCAGUGAAUAUUGACUCCGUGUGUCUGGAUAUUGCAAAUUUGCAAGUCUGUGUGUAACUGAAUCCGCCGGGUUUGUAUAAUUAUUUCUGAACAACUUUAAACUCAAGGUAAAUCAAAAUCAACAUUUUGAUUAUAUUGGUCACAAUGUACGUACAUACAAUACAAGAUUAGUGUAGCCUAUAUUCUAGAACAACACUUGAUAUGGAAAAUUGGGGAAAGGUGCUAAUGUUGCAUCUAUCUUCAUCUCUCUAGCAACAAAAAAACAAAAACACUUCAAGGCAAGAACCCAAA